CAUAAUUACGCUCAGAGUGGCUAGCAUAUAAGCUGUAAAAUCGUCAGUCUUGGCCACUUUGUUCAACAUAAUCUUGAUCAGUAUAUCCAUUGCUCGUUCAUACUCUGGUAUGAGGACUUUCUUCUUAAAUGAGAACUUGAGAUUAGCAGGGGCUGCCUCAGAUUUGAUUUCUUCUCAGAAGUUCUGCGCGUUAUAGGCGUACUGGGAGAGGUCAGGAUGAGCUCCUUCAGGGAUUGCAAAGUCGAAUGCCGCCCUUAUAUCUCCCAUGGCUCAAGUGAAUUUCUUCUCCUACAAUCCUCGUGUUCAUAAAUGAUAAACCAUUAUGUGAAAUCAAGCUUGUGAAGGUAGUCGUGGGUCAGAAAUCUCAUCAGCCCACAGUCGCUGAACCUCUGCAUAAUCUUCUCUGCCAGUUCUUUGACAGAGGCGUGUUGUAUGAAACCAUCUCGGUCUAGGAAGUGAAGUGGGUUUUAGAGAGAGAGACGGUGAAGGAGAAAAUCAGUCCAGCAAAGUCAUAAUUACAAAAAAGAAGGCGUGACAAGUAAUCUAUGUCUACAAGGAAACCCUAGAAGAUUACUUGUCAUUCAAGAUUCAGAGUUGUUUUAUAUGAUAGAAGGAUGUCGAAGCUUUGAAGACUUUUACACGAGAGAUUAAUGUUUGUUCGAGAGGCUCAUUCUACGAGUUUCUAAAAGUCCAUUCUCUAAAUCAUCAUCUGAUCUUCUUAAUACUUUUGUGAUCGGAGUUAAAGAAGACUUAUUGAGAAAACAAUUUGCAAAGUGAUUAUCCGUGGACCGUAUUCCAUUCAUCUGCAGUGCAGUGGUGGGUAAGUCAAUGAGACGGACAGCUACAACGUGGAUCUCCAAACGAGGGACUCUUUGGACUACCGAUUGCAUGGAUUUCCGCCUCAACAAUCCUCUAUAAGCUUCAUCAGAUUGGGUACUUACAUUGUGAGGUAUAUCGCACAUUGGGUUGAGAUUGUGGUUUCUUUACCAUCUGUAUGAUUGACUGGUUGUGAUAGUGGAUUAGACUCACUAAUGGUGGUCCCAAGACGUAAAAACUGUUGUAUCGAACUGGGUGUACAAUACCUUGUGUAUUUUUCUUCCUGUUUAACUUAAUUUUCGCACUUUUUCUUA